UGCAGAGGGAUGUUCGGAGGAAGCUCCGGGCGGGAGAGCCGCGUCCACUCCUCUUUCCAGACUAUGAUGGGGCCCAGGGACCCCUCCCCUCCGACUGAGCCCCAUAGACCCCCUACUCAGGCCAGAAGGGGAAAGCUGAGCUCCUGCUGGCCCAGGCAUCAGAAUUCCUCAGGGAGGAAAAGUUGCCUAUCUGUUGGGUCAGAUUUCUGAAGACUGAUGAGGCCCAUUUUCUGGCUGGAGUGAAAUGACAUGAUCUCAGCUCACUGAAACUUCUGCCUCCCAGGUUCAAGCAAUUCUCCUGCCUCAGCCUCGCGAGUAGCUGGGAUUACAGAUAUCCUUCGAGUUGGAUUUCGACUGGGUUCUGCCAGUGGGAUGUAUCCAUGCGAGAUUCUGGAACUAACAUCAGAGAGAGUCCAAGCUUCUAACUUUUAUCAGCGGCAGUGACAAUAGUCAAGCAGCAUUGAUGACAAACGGCAAGAGUUUAGAAAGUACCAGUGACGUGCCUGAUAGAAUCUCACCACAAGAUGGAAGCCAACUCGUCAGAAGCCUGGAAAGCCCACCCAGCGUGGGACCUCUGUGGGUCCAGGAUCUUGGAAUGGUAUCCCAUGGUUCAAUCUUCUGGAUUCAACCACAUAAAUUUACCCCACCCAUGUCGUGGACCCAAGCUUCCUACCAUGUAUACUUAGCUUAAAUGCAAGAUAGUACUAUUUUGUUCAUCUUGAUUGGAGUGAGAAAUGAAUAGGUCCAUGCACAUAUAUUUCUUUUACCACAACAAGAUGAUGAAGAAAUAAAUCCAUAAUAUCGAUACUUUUGUAUAAGUUGUGUUUACAGUUGCGGUAAGAAAUUUUAUAAUUGUUGAUUUGCUUUAUAUAAUUUCUGCUUGCUUUUUAUGAUAUUUAAAACAAAAUCUAAGCAACAAAUUUUAUGUCUGAUUAGAUUUACAGAAGCUGCUUAAGUGCUUAGGGAUAAUUUGUUCAUCAUAUUUGUAAGUCUCCCUUGUUAGGUGUUUGAAGUGUUUGAAUUGGCUAAAUUAAAUUUGUAAUUGUAGUUUGAAAUAUCUAAA
rnacentral:lncRNA from 1 species